GGAAAAGAGAACGACAAGGCAGGCGGAGGUGUGUUGGGGAGUGGAGUGCGACUGGUUGCAUCGUCUGGGGUCCAGUUGAGAUGGAAAUGCGGGCUCCUCGCUCAACACAAAUGUCAAGACGUCAGAGCAUCAAACCGCAUCACAGACUCUGGCCUCCAGGAGGAACUCUUUGACACAUAUAUGGCAACUAAACCAUCAGCAGAAGUUUGCUUGGGUUUUCUGGGACACCACUGUUGAAGAGGAAUCUUAUGAAAACCAUAGAUUCAAGACACAGGCAUAACUUGAAAUUUUCUAACAGCUACAUACAAAAUUUGAAAGGAACAGAUUAAGUUAAUUAAAUUCAUUUUUAGAAUAUAUUUCAUUUAUCUAAUGUAUUAAUAAUAUUAUCAUUUCAAAAUGUAAUUGAUAGCAACAUAAUUGAGACUUUUACAGUGAGUUUUGUGAGUCCUAAGACUGGAACCUGGUGGGUAUUUAACUUUACUCCUCUAUCCCAUUUGGAUUAGUCGCAUUUCAGAUGCUCAGGGGUGACUGUGGCUGGUGGCCCCCCCAGGUGGGGAACAGAUGUCCGAUAUUAGGGGGGAAGUGUUACAAAACAGGGACUACAGCCUCCCUUGCUUGUUACCCAUCUCAAGGGGAUGCUUGGAACAUUUUACCAUCAAGUAGGAUACUUGCUAGAGGUUUUGUUUUGUUUUUGCAGAUGCCAGGAUAAAGACAUUCCCUGGAUUCCUAGUUUGCUAGGAUUUUAAUAACAUAACAGAUGCUGGCUUUUUCCUGGAACUAUGGAGAUGAUAUGUCUUCCACCUCUGAUCUUCUAAUGUGGUGAAACACCCUGACUGAGCUAGUUUGUCGCCUCCCCGCCCCGUGUUGGGGAUUGAACUCAGGGGUGCUUUACCACUGAGCUGUAUCCCCAGCUGCCCUCCCCCUCCUCCUCCUCCUCCUCCUUUUUCUGUCUUAGGGUAGGGUUUUUCCUACCCAGUUGCCCAGGCUGGUCUUGAACUUGUGAUCAGCCUCCCAAAUCAGUGCUUGAGGCACUGCUCCUAGUUUAAAUUGAUUUUCAAAGUUAAACCAGCCUAAUUUUAUCACAAAGUAUUAUCACUUUUUAUAUACUGCCAGGUUUGAUUUGCUAAUGCUUUCAGAUUUUUUUUGUAUCUUUCUUCAUGAGUAACACUGGUCUAUAAUUUUCCUUUUUUGUACUGUACUUGUCAUACAAAGAAUUAGGAGGAAUUCCUCUUCCUCUUAUGUGGGGAUGUUGGGGUUAAGACUGGAAUGAUUUCUUUUUAAAAUAAACCACAGGUGAAGCCCUCUGGGUCUGGGUUUCUUUGUGGGGACCAUCACUAACAAUCCACCCAUUUCCUUUCGUGAUUAAGGGGAGGUCUGUUUAGCUUAUGCAAAAGACUUCAGGUCACUGAAAUACCCAGACACGUUCAUACCAGCUGCACCAGUACACAGCCGCACUGCCAGUCACCUGAACACUCUGACCCAGGUCCGCCAGCCCUCUAUAAAUCAGUCUGUGCUGGGGUCAGGCAUCGCCUCCUGUACUACACACUGGUGUCAUGACCAGGGUCAGCCCACUGUGUCUUCCCUCUGUUCUCUUGGUCAAUUUCACCAAAGGGCUAGCAACACUCUUAAGUCUUUUCCUAGAGAAAACUGGGCUGGGGAUUUAGCUCAGUGGUUCUGCUGUCUGCCUUGCA